UACGAAGGGGGCUAGCGUUGCUCGGAAUUACUGGGCGUAAAGCGCACGUAGGCGGAUUGUUAAGUCGGGGGUGAAAUCCUGGAGCUCAACUCCAGAACUGCCUUCGAUACUGGCGAUCUAGAGUCCGGGAGAGGUGAGUGGAACUGCGAGUGUAGAGGUGAAAUUCGUAGAUAUUCGCAAGAACACCAGUGGCGAAGGCGGCUCACUGGCCCGGUACUGACGCUGAGGCGCGAAAGCGUGGGGAGCAAACAGG
rnacentral:rRNA from 1 species